rnacentral:lncRNA from 1 species
CUUAGAGGGUAGGUUGCUGUUGCUCGUGAGAUGAUCACGCUCACAUUGCCUGUCUGCGCUUGGUGGGGUCGCUCCCCUCAAGUUGUGCGCUCCGGAGUUUGGUCACUAGAGAGGCAGCCCUGCUUGCUGCUCGGAUAGCCGCUUGUUAUCCGCAGGCGUACUCGGGGAUCGACCAGCUAGGCAUCCCUAGGAGAUUGAUAUGUGAGCCUUGCUUGUGAACCUUGUGUUCACCACGAGAUUUGGUUACCUAUUGAGUCAUACUCAUUAUUGUUGUUCAUGAUAGCUUGCUUCCAUAGUUGUUGUUGUUGUUCAUAGUAGCUUACUAGUGUUCAUAGUAGCUUACUU